rnacentral:rRNA from 1 species
UUUGACCUCAAAUCAGGUAGGACUACCCGCUGAACUUAAGCAUAUCAAUAAGCGGAGGAAAAGAAACCAACAGGGAUUGCCUUAGUAGCGGCGAGUGAAGCGGCAAAAGCUCAAAUUUGAAAUCUGGCUCUUUCAGAGUCCGAGUUGUAAUUUGAAGAAGGUAUCUUUGGGUCUGGCUCUUGUCUAUGUUUCUUGGAACAGAACGUCACAGAGGGUGAGAAUCCCGUGCGAUGAGAUGAUCCAGGCCUAUGUCAA